rnacentral:rRNA from 1 species
UACGAGGGGAGCAAGCGUUGUUCGGAUUCACUGGGCGUAAAGGGUGCGUAGGCGGUCGGGUAAGUCUGGCGUGAAAUCUCCAAGCCUAACUUGGAAACUGCGUUGGAUACUAUCCGGCUCGAGGAAUGGAGGGGAGACUGGAAUUCUCGGUGUAGCAGUGAAAUGCGUAGAUAUCGAGAGGAACACCAGUGGCGAAGGCGACUGCCUGGACCAGCACUGACACUGAGGCACGAAAGCGUGGGGAGCAAACAGG